GUUAUAAUGCAUGGGUCCACCUAAUCAAAAAACAUGCAAACAAACAAAAAAACCCACCUCGAGCCAUUACAAUAGUUUUAGAGAAGCACUGCAGGAGCUGACAUCAUACACAUCAAUUUGGGCAUGUGUAGACGAAUGCAGACAAGUUCUCAAGAGAAACUGACAUCCUGACUGCUUAACAUUUCCCUGGCUUCCCUACUGUUUGCAGAUGACCUCUUGGUGUCAGGCUCAAGAGCUUCAUAGAGGUGUUUAUUGUGAUGGGGGACAGAUGAGGCUGGAAGGGACCUCUGGAGACCAUCUAGUCCCACCUCCAUGUGCAAAGCAAGGAACCCCAGCUACAGUUCCAGUCUCCUCUGCAUGCGGGACAUGGUAGCUGGGCUACACCUUCCAUGAUGCACCACAGAAAGGGUCUCCAGCAGAAGCAAGCUCCUCUUCACAGGGAGUGCUGCAUGGUGGAGCAAACAGGCCAGCCAACCAAUACCCAAACAGCAGUGCCUGAGUGGCAUCCCUGCUCACUCUGAAAUCAAAGUCAGGGAUGGGAAUAAAAGCAACAGAGACUUUGCUUGUACAAAACCAGCCCAGCACAAGGAAGUUAUCAGCAGCGGUGGACAUAGCCAGAGGAGCAAGGACAGUCAGAAAACCUGCUGGUCAAGUGGCAGCCCGGCUGUACCUCCUAGCUUACGUCCUUUUUGGGUAAUGAAAGAAGCUACAGUUUCUUAAAGGAAGGACAGAGGAACAUCCUCUUCAGACUGACACAAAAAGGGUUAAAGAGAGAACAGCCUGGGCUGAGCUCUGCUCCUCUUUGCAUCUGGACUUGCAUGAAAUCAAACCAGGCCAGCAGUUUGUCUACUCCAACUAAAAUGUAAAUGGAAAAUGUGCAAUACAUGCAUUAAAAAAAAACAAAAACAACAACAAAAAAAAAAACCAAAAAACAAAAAAACAGUGCAGGAGGCAUUUAUGCGUGUCUCACAGUGAGGUUGUAGCCAGCAGUGCAGAAGAAUGAAUCUUCAUUUUCUGCUCGUUUCUUUCAAGUACCUUGUUUCUGUUUAGAAAGCAAAGUGUUAAGUAUUUGCAAAUACAACAGCCCUGCAAACAUGCUAGCUUACAACUUCUCCCCAGCUGUGUCUUUAAUGACCUUGGACAUUAGAGACCAUUUACUGAGAGGGGAUGUUGCCCAGGCCACUGGGGUUAUCUGCUGCCCUCUCUGAGCACAUUCCCUCCAAUAGCUCACCUAGCUGAGUUAGGAGAAGGAAUGGGUUUCAACAGCGCUACAAACAGUGUUGAUGCUACAGAGGCAGAGGGGCUUCUGAGAUUAGCAUCUGUGUUUAUGGUGCUGAGUAAAGCCAAGUCAAACUUGAAGGUAAAGACACUAGUUAAUAUUUUAAGUAAGUCCCAAAUUAGCUGCAAAACUAACAGGAAUGCUUUCUUAGUACUGGCAGCUUUGAAGUACUCUGGAACAGUUUGGUACACCUCCAUUGGGCUCAUUGGAGAGCUUGUGAGGUGAGUGUGGCUCAUUCAGUUACGUGUACACAGGGUUGGAAUCCCAAAUAAUGAGCAGAAUUGUUGUCUACAGUAAUGCAUAAUAAGAAGUAUACGUGAUGGAACCCAGUCAGAGCUGAAGUUCCUAGCAGUGUGCUUGGUCACGAUAACCAGCAAAGGAUAAAAAUAAUAUGUGUUUAAUACUAGGAAUUCUCUGUUUCGGGUGGCACUAGGGGAUCUGUGAAGGACUGAGACAUCUUUGUUUUAUGCAGAACAUCCCUGCAUGAUGAAAAUCUCCUGUCUUUUAAAGGCGUUCUCUUCUGAAGCAGUUCGUUGUCCCUGGUAGCAUCUGUCCUCCUCAGGCCCUGGUGUCAUCCUCUGAGAAGCACACACCUCACGUUCCCAGGCCAGGAAGCAAGCAGUCUGUUGCCUUCUCUUCUUUCUUGCCAUGAAACCGUCAUGCUUCUGGCCUUCUUUGCUCAUCCCCAUGGGUUUCGCUGCUGGUGACUGUCUGCAACAGCUUGCAGCAGGAGGACUACGUCCUAGUGAAAGCCGGCAAUGAGUGGUGUCCCCCGGGAGUCUGUCUUUAGACCUUACUCUUUGACAUCAUUAUCAGUGACGUAGACGAGGGGGUUCAGUGCACCCUCAGCAAGCUUGCAGUCGACACCAAGCUGGUGCAGUUAGGACAACAAAAGGAAGGGAUGCUGUCCAUCGGUGGCUGAACGAGCUUGAAAGAUGGGCGCAUGUGAAUCCAAUGAGGUUUCCCAAGGCCAUGUUCAAGACUGAGAGGUCGAUGUUCGCCUCUCAGUCCUCCUGAGCCAUUUCCUUCCCGGUCGUGUGGUGCCGGCCUAGCGCCGCCGCUGGGGCCGCCUCUUGCGGGGCAGGGCUGAGUCCUGGGGGCUGCUGCUGGCCUUCCUCUUUGGGGCAGGCCGGGGCCCCCCACGGGAACGGUCCCUGCUCUGGGUGGAGGGGCCCGCUGCCGCCGCCUGCCCCGGCUCCUCCUGCGCCUCCUCCUCUGAGGGCACGGUGGCGGCGGUGAGGUUCCCGGGAACCCUGCAAAGGACGCCGGGGAGCUCCUCAGCGGUGAGGCCUGCGGCGCUGGUGGAGCAGCCUGGGCCGGAGGCGGGAAGCCCCUGCUGGGAGGCGGUGGGGCUCGGGGUGGCUGUGGGGCUGUUCUCCUGUCCCCCUCUGGCACCAGUGUCCCUGUGAUCCUGCUGCCGGCGGAUCUCUGGGCCGUACAGCGCUGCAGCGAUGAUAAUGAGCCUCCUCACAAAGCGCUCCGUGAGGCCUUGGAGACUUGGCUGCAGCUCCCGCAGCAGGACCGCCUGAUCGAGCCCGUACUUGCACAGGAAGUUCAGAAUGAUGGUCAGUCUGGCGUGCAUCUCCCACCACCUGUCAACAGAGAUCCCCCUGAUCUCUUGAUGGAGCCACUGAAGCAGGGGCGUGAGGUGUCCUGGAUGUUGCUGGAAAAAGGCAGCCCAGAUCUCAGGUGGAAAGCUGAGCUCAGGAGGCAGGAGCACCGGCUCUGCAGGCUCCUGCUCGCUCUGCAGGCCAUAACCUGAGUGUGCUGUGGGCUGCGGGACAGGACACUCGAGAUAAUCAUCAUCCGACCUCACCGAGUAUCGGAUGGUUCUGAUCUUGUGCCCGCACACGGCACAUCUGUCCUUCUUUUUUGCCCACCAGAGCGCACAGCCGUAGCAUAGCUGGUGGAGACAAGGCGUCACAUAGGCCGCAUCGUCCUGAGCCUGGCCGCAGAUCGGACAGGUCCAGUCUAAUGGCAUCUCCAUGGCCGCUGGCUGUGCGGUGGGCUGGGAGAGCUGAGGACAGGAAGCUGCUCCCCUCACUGGCGCUGCAGCGGGCAGAAGGUGUCACAAACUGCAAGAGAGAGAGAGAGAGAGGCUAUGGUCGCUUUCUGUUUCCAGGGCAGACAGCAGUGAUGCCCCAGUCCCUCAACAGCAAACCUCCCCAACCCCUGCCCCCCACUGGCCAUCCUGGAGCUGUAUCGUCUCACCUCUGCUGCUGUGAGCGCACCCUGUGGGGCCCCAGCUGCCUGAGCCCGGCAGGGCUGGGGAAAUGCUGGUGAUGCUGUGGGAUAGGCACCAAUAACUGCUGCCAGCAGUCCCACAGCACAACCCAACCAAAGCCUCGUUUCGUGAUCCAAGUCUCGCAGACACGCUCAACUGGAGUCCAGGAACGAGUGGAUGCUGGUCUCGGCCAGCACUGGAAUUUGUAUGCUAUGGUCACCGAGGCCACAGUCAUCUCUCACUGAUGUCACAACUCCCUGGUCAGUGACCUCACAGUCCACGGCUGUGUGUAUUUGGACACCAGCCUGGGCCUCCAUCACCCUCCAUUAUUCAGUGAUUUUUCUUUCUAAUGCUGAUAUCUGGGAGAAUAAAAAUUGCACGAUCACUUUCUCCACAAUAAUCCAUCUUCUAUGAACU
ensembl:lncRNA